rnacentral:rRNA from 1 species
UACAGAGGGUGCGAGCGUUAAUCGGAAUUACUGGGCGUAAAGCGCACGUAGUCGGCUUUGCAAGUCGGUUGUGAAAUCCCCGGGCUCAACCUGGGAACUGCAUCCGAGACUGCAUUGCUAGAGUAUGGGAGAGGAAAGCGGAAUUUCUGGUGUAGCAGUGAAAUGCGUAGAUAUCGGAAGGAACAUCAGUGGCGAAGGCGACUUCCUGGACCAAUACUGACGCUCAGGUGCGAAAGCGUGGGGAGCAAACAGG